GACGAACGCUGGCGGCGUGCUUAACACAUGCAAGUCGAGCGGUAAGGCCCUUCGGGUACGACGAGCGGCGAACGGGUGAGUAACACGUGGGUGACCUGCCUCUAGCUCUGGGAUAAGCCUGGGAAACUGGGUCUAAUACCGGAUAUGACUCCAUGACGCAUGUUGUGGGGUGGAAAGCCUUGUGCGGCUGAGGAUGGGCCCGCGGCCUAUCAGCUUGUUGGG
rnacentral:rRNA from 1 species